GAUGAACGCUAGCGGCAGGCUUAACACAUGCAAGUCGAGGGGCAGCACGGGUAGCAAUACCUGGUGGCGACCGGCGGAAGGGUGCGUAACGCGUGAGCAACAUGCCCUAUACAGGGGAAUAAUCCAGGGAAACUUGGUCUAAUGCCCCAUAGCAAUAAGAUAAGGCAUCUUAUUUUAUUUAAAGCUUCGGUGGUAUAGGAUUGGCUCGCGUGACAUUAGCUGGAUGGAGAGGUAACGGCUCACCAUGGCAAUGAUGUCUAGGGGUUCUGAGAGGAAGGCCCCCCACACUGGGACUGAGACACGGUCCAGACUCCUACGGGAGGCAGCAGUGAGGAAUAUUGGACAAUGGAUGGAAAUCUGAUCCAGCCAUGCCGCGUGCAGGAAGACGGCCCUAUGGGUUGUAAACUGCUUUUCUACGGGAGCAAUAAGGUCUACGAGUAGACUGAUGAGAGUACCGUAGGAAUAAGCAUCGGCUAACUCCGUGCCAGCAGCCGCGGUAAUACGGAGGAUGCGAGCGUUAUCCGGAUUUAUUGGGUUUAAAGGGUGCGUAGGCGGCUUUUUAAGUCAGCGGUGAAAUUUUGCAGCUUAACUGUAACAGUGCCGUUGAUACUGAGAGGCUAGGAUUUGGUUGCUGUGGGUGGAAUGUGUGGUGUAGCGGUGAAAUGCUUAGAGAUCACACAGAAUAUCGAUUGCGAAGGCAGCUCACAAAGCCAAGAUUGACGCUGAGGCACGAAAGUGUGGGGAUCAAACA
rnacentral:rRNA from 1 species